rnacentral:rRNA from 1 species
UACGAAGGGAGCUAGCGUUGUUCGGAAUUACUGGGCGUAAAGGGCGCGUAGGCGGUAAGAACAGUCAGGUGUGAAAUCCCAGGGCUCAACCCUGGAACUGCGCUUGAUACUUUCUUGCUUGAAUUCGGUAGAGGUGAGUGGAAUUCCCAGUGUAGAGGUGAAAUUCGUAGAUAUUGGGAAGAACACCGGUGGCGAAGGCGGCUCACUGGACCGACAUUGACGCUGAGGCGCGAAAGCGUGGGGAGCAAACAGG